ACUAAAUAGUUUAGAAUAAGUGAUUCCUUCUUGAGGGAAGGAAUUGAAAAGGAAAGUCAGUUGAAAGCUGACACGGUACCCGCCACUGUAAAAGGGAAUCAACUCACACCAUGUCACUGGAAUUCAUCUGGGAAGACGUGAGUUGAUGAUGAUCUUAAGCCAGGAGACCUGCUUAUUCUAAGGUGAAAGC
rnacentral:ncRNA from 2 species